rnacentral:tRNA from 1 species
GGUGGCUCAGUGGUAAAGUGCUUGCCUUGCAUGCAUGAGGUCCUGAGUUCGAUUCCUCAGCACCA